UGUGCUGCGUUUAGACAACUUUAGUGGGGACCUUUGGUCGUCACUGUAGACUUAUCGUCUCCUUCGUCUCCCGAUAUCAGAGAAACGGAACCAUCAGAUUUGAUCAUCUCAUCAAUCGAUCAACCACGAUGUAGAAUCAAUGCGGGAUUUAAUUGCGUCUGGCGAUGGAGACGACUAUAUAAGAAGGCCGGCCGAUCCUCCUCCACCGUCGAAGUGUGCUUGCUCCGCUUCUGGGAGGCGAAAAAGUCCGCCGUGGUGGAGAGCUCAUGGGCGUCGACAUGCUUUUGGUUGAUUCUCAGGGUUCAUCACGAAGGAUAAGCUAAAGGAAGUGAUGAAAUCGAUGGCAGAACUUUGGGAGAUGAUGAUCGGUAUCUACAUUGAUGGCAAUGGAGACAUCUAUAAUGGCUUCAAAACACCUCUCAGGAAUCAGCAUGGAAUGAACUAAUAGAAAUAUCCAGAGUGUUAGAUGGGACAGUUUCACAUCGAAACUUGAGCUUGAAGAUCGUCAGCCACCAUCCCUACUUUCAAAUGGAUAUCCAAAACAUAGACAAAUUCUCAGAUUAGUCGUCGACAGGUUCAGGAGGUGGUGACGGUGAGAGAUCAGCUGGAGAAGAAAGAGCAAGAUCCAGGAUUGUCGAAUCAGAGUGAAAGGAGACGGAGCGAGAAAUUCGCGACACUUAAGCAGAUGGAUUUAACUUCUUAUGAUCAGAACGAUGCUUGACAAUGAGAUUCAAGGAGAAGAAGCCUUCAGAAACUUCUCUUGCUGAAAGAGAAGAAAAGAAACAGAAAGACCAAGCUAUGCUCUUCCACAAAAACCAAGGUAGUUAAUUGCUCAUAGAGCAAAGUGUGGAAAUUCUUUAUCCGAAAAGAAGAUGACCGUGCACAAUGCAAUAUGUUUCUGUAAAAUUACAGGAACUGAAAGUAACACUAGAAACACGUAUGUGGGCUCUACGUGAGAUUUCUGAGUGUAUCUUGGUUCGUUUAUGUUUUUAAUUCAGCUUGAGUUACAAUAUGUGUUUAUUUAAGACUUUUGGUGCAAGUGAUUUUCUGUUCUCUGUUAUUAUUGUGAUGUGAUCAUCUUUGAUCAAUAAGUUAGCACAAUGUGGGUUUGAAACUUUUUCUGAAUGUAGUGUAAUAUGUUUGAAAUUGAA